rnacentral:rRNA from 1 species
UACGUAGGGUGCAAGCGUUAAUCGGAGUUACUGGGCGUAAAGCGUGCGCAGGCGGUUAUGUAAGACAGGUGUGAAAUCCCCGGGCUUAACCUGGGAACUGCAUUUGUGACUGCAUAGCUAGAGUACGGCAGAGGGGGAUGGAAUUCCGCGUGUAGCAGUGAAAUGCGUAGAUAUGCGGAGGAACACCGAUGGCGAAGGCAAUCCCCUGGGCCUGUACUGACGCUCAUGCACGAAAGCGUGGGGAGCAAACAGG